CGUAGGACACGAAGCGUUAUCCGGAGUUACUGGGCGUAAAGGGCGUGUAGGCGGAUCGGUAAGUCUACUCUGAAAGCUCCUGGCUAAACUGGGAGAGGCGAGUGGAGACUGUCGGUCUAGAGUGAGGAAGAGGAAAGUGGAAUUCCGCGUGUAGUGGUGAAAUGCGUAGAGAUGCGGAGGAACACCAGUGGCGAAAGCGGCUUUCUGGUCCUUAACUGACGCUGAGGCGCGAAAGCAUGGGGAGCGAACGGGAUUAGAAACCCCGGUAGUCCAUGCCGUAAACGAUGUUCACUAAACGUUCGUUUCCCGCGAGGGAAGCGGGUGUUGAAGCUAACGCAGUAAGUGAACCGCCUGGGGAGUACGGUCGCAAGGCUA
rnacentral:rRNA from 1 species